AUGCCGCGUGAGUGAUGAAGGCCUUAGGGUCGUAAAGCUCUUUUCGCCAGGGAUGAUAAUGACAGUACCUGGUAAAGAAACCCCGGCUAACUCCGUGCCAGCAGCCGCGGUAAUACGGAGGGGGUUAGCGUUGUUCGGAAUUACUGGGCGUAAAGCGCGCGUAGGCGGAUUAGAAAGUUGGGGGUGAAAUCCCGGGGCUCAACCCCGGAACUGCCUCCAAAACUCCUGGUCUUGAGUUCGAGAGAGGUGAGUGGAAUUCCGAGUGUAGAGGUGAAAUUCGUAUAUAUUCGGAGGAACACCAGUGGCGAAGGCGGCUCACUGGCUCGAUACUGACGCUGAGGUGCGAAAGUGUGGGGAGCAAACAGGAUUAGAUACCCUGGUAGUCCACACCGUAAACGAUGAAUGCCAGUCGUCGGGUAGCAUGCUAUUCGGUGACACACCUAACGGAUUAAGCAUUCCGCCUGGGGAGUACGGUCGCAAGAUUAAAACUCAAG
rnacentral:rRNA from 1 species